rnacentral:rRNA from 1 species
ACUCCUACGGGAGGCAGCAGUGGGGAAUAUUGGACAAUGGGCGAAAGCCUGAUCCAGCCAUGCCGCGUGUGUGAAGAAGGCCUUCGGGUUGUAAAGCACUUUCAGCGAGGAAGAACGCUUGUGGGUUAAUACCCCGCAAGAAGGACAUCACUCGCAGAAGAAGCACCGGCUAACUCCGUGCCAGCAGCCGCGGUAAUACGGAGGGUGCAAGCGUUAAUCGGAAUUACUGGGCGUAAAGCGCGCGUAGGCGGCUUGAUAAGCCGGUUGUGAAAGCCCCGGGCUCAACCUGGGAACGGCAUCCGGAACUGUCAGGCUAGAGUGCAGGAGAGGAAGGUAGAAUUCCCGGUGUAGCGGUGAAAUGCGUAGAGAUCGGGAGGAAUACCAGUGGCGAAGGCGGCCUUCUGGACUGACACUGACGCUGAGGUGCGAAAGCGUGGGUAGCAAACAGGAUUAGAUACCCUGGUAGCUACGAGU